CCUCACCUCAGACACUGACCACUCACCCACCUCCCAUACACCUCACCUCAGACACUGACCACUCACCUGCCUCCCAUACACCUCACCUCAGACACUGACCACUCACCCACCUCCCAUACACCUCACCUCAGACACCGACCACUCACCUGCCUCCCAUACACCUCACCUCAGACACUGACCACUCAUCUGCCUCCCAUACACCUCACCUCAGACACUGACCACUCACCUGCCUCCCAUACACCUCACCUCAGACACUGACCACUCACCCUCCUCCCAUACACCUCACCUCAGACACCGACCACUCACCUGCCUCCCAUACACCUCACCUCAGACAUCGACCACUCACCUGCCUCCCAUACACCUCACCUCAGACACCGACCACUCAACAUCGACCACUCACCUGCCUCCCAUACACCUCACCUCAGACACUGACCACUCACCCACCUCCCAUACACCUCACCUCAGACACCGACCACUC
rnacentral:lncRNA from 1 species